UUGAAAUACAGAUAGGGACCACACAUCUCAAAGAACUUCCAGUUACAGGAAGGAGAGGACUAGAAGGAGCUGGAUGUCGACUCUUGAGUUUCCUUUCUGGAUCGUGCCACCAGCAGUCAGUUGUCUAGAUGGGAAGAGUGUUUCCUGCCACCAUCCAGAAGAACAAUCAAAAUCAGAUGGAAACAUCGCAAUACAAAGGAUUGAUUAAUGGCCCUAUCGCAUUUUAGAAAUAUCACAUGCAAG